UAUUUAUAUUUUAAUAUUUUAUAUUGCACUUAAAAAUCAUUUAAGAUGAUCAAUUUUUUUUAAAGAUUCCUGUUUUUUUCCUCUUCUCCCCAAAGCUCCCCAGUACAUAGUUGUAUAUUCUAGCUGUAGUUCCUUCUGGCUCUGCUGUGUGGGUUGCCGCCUCAGCAUGGUGCCAUGUCCAUGCCAGGAUCCAAACCGGAAAAACCCUGGGCCGCCGAAGCAGAGCCCGCAAACUUAACCACUCAGCCACAUGGCUGGCUCUAAGGUGGUAAAUGUUAUGUUAUGUAUUUUUUUACCACAAUUUAAAAAACAAAGUAAAUUAAAAAAAUUUACAGUCUACUUUAGAGCCUGGAUAUAAUCUAGUAUUUUAGCCAUAGAUGAUACUCAACAAAUGUUUAAUAAAUGGAAUAGAACUGGCAGAAGAGAGAAUGAAAACAAUAAAUUAAAAUACAAAAUGGAGUGAAAUGGUUGUUAUUAUAAAUGGAUAACCCAAGUGAUGAAAGCAAGCGGAGGAAAGGCCGAUCCUUUCUGAUGGAGAGGAUCAGGGAUGCGUGCAUCGUGAUGGAGAGCAUCAGGGGUGUGUACACUGUGAUGGAGAGGAACGGGGGUGUGUGCAUUCUGACGGAGAGGAUGAGGGGUGUGUGCACUGUGAUGGAGAGGAUCAGGGCUGUGUGCACUGUGAUGGAGAGGACCAGGGGUGUGUGCAUUGUGAUGCAGAGGAACAGGGAUGUGUGCACUGUGACGGAGAGGAUCAAGGAUGUGUGCAUUCUGAUGGUGAGGAUCAGAGGUGUGUGCAUUGUGAUGGAGAGGAACAGGGAUGUGUGCAUUGUGAUGGAGAGGACCAGGGGUGUGUGCACUGUGAUGGAGAGGAUCAGGGGUGUGUGCACUGUGAUGGAGAGGACCAGGGGUGUGUGCAUUCUGAUGGAGAGGAACAGGGAUGUGUGCAUUGUGAUGGAGAGGAACAGAGAUGUGUGCACUGUGAUGGAGAGGAUCAGGGGUGUGUGCACUGUGACAGAGAGGAUCAAGGAUGUGUGCAUUGUGAUGGAGAGGAACAGAGAUGUGUGCACUGUGACGGAGAGGAUCAGGGGUGUGUGCAGUGUGAUGAAGAGGAACAGAGAUGUGUGCACUGUGACGGAGAGGAUCAGGGGGCUGAUAACAUCCACCGUCCAAGGCUGCUGUCCAUGCUGGGCACAUAGUGAGUGCUUUACAUAUGUUGGUCCCCAGGGAUAUUCAGCAAGAGCCCUGGCGGAUGAGUCAAAACUUGAUAAUCUGGAAAAAGUCUAAGGAAAAGAUAAGGAAAAUGAGACCCAGGGAGGCAAAAUUACAGACCCCAGGUCAUGCAGCUGGAUGGUCCCAGAGGCAGACUGGAAUGCAUUUCUUCUGACUUUCAGGAUGAGAUACGGUCGAGUCACCAGAGGCAGAGAGUCUUAAAACAGUUUGUGGAAAAG
rnacentral:lncRNA from 1 species